AACUAACGCUGGCGGCGCGCCUAAUACAUGCAAGUCGAACGAUGUAGCAAUACAUAGUGGCGCACGGGAGAGUAACACGUGGAUAAUCUCCCCUCGAGAGAGGAAUAACUAGUCGAAAGAUUGGCUAAUACUUCAUAAGACCACAGAAACUAAUGUUUUAGGGGUAAAAGUCGUAAGACGCUUGAGGAUGAGUCUGCGUCCCAUUAGCUAGUUGGUGAGGUAACGGCUCACCAAGGCGACGAUGGGUAGCUGGUCUGAGAGGAUGAUCAGCCUCACUGGAACUGACACACGGUCCAGACUCCUACGGGAGGCAGCAGUAGGGAAUAUUGCACAAUGGGCGAAAGCCUGAUGCAGCGACGCCGCGUGAGUGAUGAAGGACUUCGGUUUGUAAAGCUCUGUUGUCAGGGAAUAAGAAAGUGAAUGUACCAUGCAAGAAAGGAUACGGGCUAAACUUCGUGCCAGCAGCCGCGGU
rnacentral:rRNA from 1 species